GCCUGCCUUCAGCCAGCCACUUCACAUUCGGACACGGUUUCUCCCAAAGACUUAACUGACACCUCUAUCCAGACAUCUCCAAAAAGACACCGGUUAAGUUUUGAGACUUAACACCGGCCCUUUGGGAUGUUUGUCAGUGGAGAACCUGCGCUUGUUUGUACAGGUGGACAGGCUGGUCACUACUAGCUCUGGAUAGUCCCAUUUCUUCCUCUCUGGAAACAGUGACGGAGCAAGCAGCCACCCAAGAUCACUCGUGACUAUUCGGAAGCCUAAGAUCUGUCUGCAAUUAAUAAAUGGGACCUCCUGAAACUGAGAAGCUUCUGCAAGGCAAAGGAAACAGUCAGUAGGACAAAACGACCACCCACAGAAUGGGAAAGGAUCUUCA